AUGGCCGAGUUCUUCGGGGACGCGAGCGACAAGAAGUGUGCGCGGCGCCUGGAGGUCCACGGCAUGGAGCCAGCGGAGUUCAAGGCCAUGCUGCACUUCAUCUACACCGACACGGCACCGGAGCUCGACCGACACGACGAUGAGGAGGCGUUGGCGUUGACCUGUCGCCUCCUCGCGGCCGCCGACAGGUAUGGGCUGGACAGGCUCAAGCUGAUAUGCUCGCAGAAGCUCUCUGCUAGCAUUUGCGUCGGGACGGUGGCCAGGAUUCUGGCUCUGGCGGACAUGAACAACUGCCCGCGGCUCAAGGCGACGUGCGUUGAGUUCAUCGUCGGAACGCCGGCGAUUCUUGGUGCCGUGUUGGCGACGGAGGGCUACAAGGACGUGGAGGCGAACUGCCCUUGGGUGCUGGCUGACAUUCUCAAGUCUGCAAGCGGGAGAAAGAAUUGA
rnacentral:rRNA from 1 species